rnacentral:rRNA from 1 species
UGAACGCUAGCUACAGGCUUAACACAUGCAAGUCGAGGGGCAGCAUGGUCUUAGCUUGCUAAGGCUGAUGGCGACCGGCGCACGGGUGAGUAACACGUAUCCAACCUGCCGUCUACUCUUGGCCAGCCUUCUGAAAGGAAGAUUAAUCCAGGAUGGGAUCAUGAGUUCACAUGUCCGCAUGAUUAAAGGUAUUUUCCGGUAGACGAUGGGGAUGCGUUCCAUUAGAUAGUAGGCGGGGUAACGGCCCACCUAGUCAACGAUGGAUAGGGGUUCUGAGAGGAAGGUCCCCCACAUUGGAACUGAGACACGGUCCAAACUCCUACGGGAGGCAGCAGUGAGGAAUAUUGGUCAAUGGGCGAUGGCCUGAACCAGCCAAGUAGCGUGAAGGAUGACUGCCCUAUGGGUUGUAAACUUCUUUUAUAAAGGAAUAAAGUCGGGUAUGCAUACCCGUUUGCAUGUACUUUAUGAAUAAGGAUCGGCUAACUCCGUGCCAGCAGCCGCGGUAAUACGGAGGAUCCGAGCGUUAUCCGGAUUUAUUGGGUUUAAAGGGAGCGUAGAUGGAUGUUUAAGUCAGUUGUGAAAGUUUGCGGCUCAACCGUAAAAUUGCAGUUGAUACUGGAUGUCUUGAGUGCAGUUGAGGCAGGCGGAAUUCGUGGUGUAGCGGUGAAAUGCUUAGAUAUCACGAAGAACUCCGAUUGCGAAGGCAGCCUGCUAAGCUGCAACUGACAUUGAGGCUCGAAAGUGUGGGUAUCAAACAGG